rnacentral:rRNA from 1 species
CACGUAGGGGCCAAGCGUUGUCCAGAUUUAUUGGGCGUAAAGAGCUCGUAGGCGGCUCGGUAAGUCAGGUGUGAAACCUCCAGGCUCAACCUGGAGACGCCACCUGAUACUGCUGUGGCUAGAGUCCGGUAGGGGAGCGUGGAAUUCCUGGUGUAGCGGUGAAAUGCGCAGAUAUCAGGAGGAACACCAGCGGCGAAGGCGGCGCUCUGGGCCGGAACUGACGCUGAGGAGCGAAAGCGUGGGUAGCAAACAGG